rnacentral:rRNA from 1 species
UUAUUGGGUUUAAAGGGUGCGCACGCGGACAUUCAAGUCUGCGGUCAAAUUCCGGGGCUCAACCCCGGCCA